AUUGAACGCUGGCGGCAUGCCUUACACAUGCAAGUCGAACGGCAGCACGGGGCAACCUGGUGGCGAGUGGCGAACGGGUGAGUAAUACAUCGGAACGUGCCCAAUCGUGGGGGAUAACGUAGCGAAAGUUACGCUAAUACCGCAUACGAUCUACGGAUGAAAGCGGGGGAUCGCAAGACCUCGCGCGAAUGGAGCGGCCGAUGUCAGAUUAGGUAGUUGGUGGGGUAAAGGCUCACCAAGCCAACGAUCUGUAGCUGGUCUGAGAGGACGACCAGCCACACUGGGACUGAGACACGGCCCAGACUCCUACGGGAGGCAGCAGUGGGGAAUUUUGGACAAUGGGCGCAAGCCUGAUCCAGCCAUUCCGCGUGCAGGAUGAAGGCCUUCGGGUUGUAAACUGCUUUUGUACGGAACGAAACGGCUCUCUCUAAUACAGGGGGCUAAUGACGGUACCGUAAGAAUAAGCACCGGCUAACUACGUGCCAGCAGCCGCCGUAACAC
rnacentral:rRNA from 1 species